GACGAACGCUGGCGGCGUGCUUAACACAUGCAAGUCGAACGGAAAGGCCCCCAUCUUGGUGGGGGUGCUCGAGUGGCGAACGGGUGAGUAACACGUGGGUGAUCUGCCCUGUACUUCGGGAUAAGCUUGGGAAACUGGGUCUAAUACCGGAUAGGACCAUGGUUUAGUGUCUCAUGGUGUAAAUAUUAUUGUUUUUGUGCAGGAUGAGGUCGCGGCCUAUCAGCUUGUUGGUGGGGUAAUGGCCUACCAAGGCGUCGACGGUUAGCCGGCCUGCGAGGGUGGACGGCCAGAUGGGGACGGAGAGACGGCACAGACACGGACGGGAGGCAGCAGUGGGGAAUAUUGAACAAUGGGAGCAAGACUGAUGCAGCGACGCCGCGUGGGGGAUGACGGCCGUCGGGUUGUAAACUCCUUUCGUUAGGGACGAAGCCGCACUUUUUUUGGGUGUGGUGAAGGUAACUUUGUUAAGAAGCACCGGCUAACUACGUG
rnacentral:rRNA from 1 species